rnacentral:rRNA from 1 species
CCUACGGGAGGCAGCAGUGAGGAAUAUUGGUCAAUGGGCGAGAGCCUGAACCAGCCAAGUCGCGUGAGGGAGUACUGCCCUAUGGGUUGUAAACCUCUUUUGUCGGGGAGCAAAAGCCGGACGUGUCCGGCUGUGAGAGUACCCGAAGAAAAAGCAUCGGCUAACUCCGCGCCAGCAGCCGCGGUAAUACGGAGGAUGCGAGGGUUAUCCGGAUUUAUUGGGGUAAAGGGGUGAGCAGGCGGAUGUUUAAGUCAGCGGUCAAAUCGCGGGGUGCAACCCCAACCAGCCGUUGAAACUGGGGAUCUAGAGUGUGCGAGAGGUAUGCGGAAUGCGUGGUGUAGCGGUGAAAUGCAUAGAUAUCACGCAGAACCCCGAUUGCGAAGGCAGCAUACUAAGCCAUAACUGACACUGAAGCACGAAAGCGUGGGGAUCAAACAGGAUUAGAUACCCUGGUAGUC